rnacentral:rRNA from 1 species
GGCGGCGUGCUUAACACAUGCAAGUCGAACGGAAAGGUCUCUUCGGAGAUACUCGAGUGGCGAACGGGUGAGUAACACGUGGGUAAUCUGCCCUGCACUUCGGGAUAAGCCUGGGAAACUGGGUCUAAUACCGGAUAGGACCUCAAGGCGCAUGCCUUUGUGGUGGAAAGCUUUUGCGGUGUGGGAUGGGCCCGCGGCCUAUCAGCUUGUUGGUGGGGUGACGGCCUACCAAGGCGACGACGGGUAGCCGGCCUGAGAGGGUGUCCGGCCACACUGGGACUGAGAUACGGCCCAGACUCCUACGGGAGGCAGCAGUGGGGAAUAUUGCACAAUGGGCGCAAGCCUGAUGCAGCGACGCCGCGUGGGGGAUGACGGCCUUCGGGUUGUAAACCUCUUUCACCAUCGACGAAGGUUCGGGUUUUCUCGGAUUGACGGUAGGUGGAGAAGAAGCACCGGCCAACUACGUGCCAGCAGCCGCGGUAAUACGUAGGGUGCGAGCGUUGUCCGGAAUUACUGGGCGUAAAGAGCUCGUAGGUGGUUUGUCGCGUUGUUCGUGAAAUCUCACGGCUUAACUGUGAGCGUGCGGGCGAUACGGGCAGACUGGAGUACUGCAGGGGAGACUGGAAUUCCUGGUGUAGCGGUGGAAUGCGCAGAUAUCAGGAGGAACACCGGUGGCGAAGGCGGGUCUCUGGGCAGUAACUGACGCUGAGGAGCGAAAGCGUGGGGAGCGAACAGGAUUAGAUACCCUGGUAGUCCACGCCGUAAACGGUGGGUACUAGGUGUGGGUUUCCUUCCUUGGGAUCCGUGCCGUAGCUAACGCAUUAAGUACCCCGCCUGGGGAGUACGGCCGCAAGGCUAAAACUCAAAGGAAUUGACGGGGGCCCGCACAAGCGGCGGAGCAUGUGGAUUAAUUCGAUGCAACGCGAAGAACCUUACCUGGGUUUGACAUGCACAGGACGCGUCUAGAGAUAGGCGUUCCCUUGUGGCCUGUGUGCAGGUGGUGCAUGGCUGUCGUCAGCUCGUGUCGUGAGAUGUUGGGUUAAGUCCCGCAACGAGCGCAACCCUUAUCUUAUGUUGCCAGCGGGUAAUGCCGGGGACUCGUGAGAGACUGCCGGGGUCAACUCGGAGGAAGGUGGGGAUGACGUCAAGUCAUCAUGCCCCUUAUGUCCAGGGCUUCACACAUGCUACAAUGGCCGGUACAAAGGGCUGCGAUGCCGCAAGGUUAAGCGAAUCCUUUUAAAGCCGGUCUCAGUUCGGAUCGGGGUCUGCAACUCGACCCCGUGAAGUCGGAGUCGCUAGUAAUCGCAGAUCAGCAACGCUGCGGUGAAUACGUUCCCGGGCCUUGUACACACCGCCCGUCACGUCAUGAAAGUCGGUAACACCCGAAGCCAGUGGCCUAACCCUUGGGAGGGAGCUGUCGAAGGUGGGAU